CCUACGGGUGGCAGCAGUGAGGAAUAUUGGUCAAUGGCCGGAAGGCUGAACCAGCCAUGCCGCGUGAAGGUCAGUGCCCUAUGGGCGUUAAACUUCUUUUGUGCGGGAGCAAUAAUGGUCACGUUUGGCCAGACGAUGGUACCGUACGAAUAAGCAUCGGCUAACUACGGGCCAGCAGCCGCGGUAAUACUGGGGAUGCAAGCGGUAUCCGGAUUUAUUGUGUGUAAAGGGUGCGUAGGCUGGGAGGUAAGUCAGCGGGGAAAUGCCCCGGCUCAAAGGGGUGAAGUGCCGUUGAUACUGGAUUGCUGGAAUGCGGAUGGGGUGGGAGGAAUGUGUGGUGUAGCGGUGAAAUGCAUAGAUAUCACACAGAACACCGAUUGCGAAGGCAUCUCACGAAUCCGCGAUUGACGCUGAUGCACGAAAGCGUGGGUAUCAAACAGGAUUAGAGACCCCGGUAGUC
rnacentral:rRNA from 1 species